rnacentral:lncRNA from 1 species
CGCGAGCCCACACUUCUGAGCUACCACCCUUCUCCCACCAUUACCUCCACCUACCUCCCUCCCUCCCCCUCUCUUAUUUAUCUCUCUCCCUCUCUCUCCUCUCUUUAAGUUCCACACCCUUCUCUCUCUCUCUCUCUCUCUCUCUCUCUCUCUCUCUCUCUCUGUGCCACCAUGAUCUCCAUUGAAACCCAAAACCCGGAUGUUUCCAACCUUGACACUAGUCACUCUAUCCCCAAAAUGGCCAAUCGAAUUGACGACCAUGUUUUCAGAUCAAAACUCCCUGAAAUUCCCAUCUCCAACCACCUCCCUCUCCACACCUACUGCUUUGAAAACUACUCCCAAUUCGCCGAUCGUCCAUGCUUGAUCGUCGGAUCCACCAACAAAACCUACUCCUUUGCAGAAACCCACCUCAUUUCUCGCAAAGUCGGAGCUGGGUUCGCCCACCUCGGCCUCAAACAGGGAGACGUCGUCAUGAUCCUCCUCCAGAACUGCGCCGAAUUCGCGUUCUCCUUUCUCGGAGCUUCCAUGGUCGG